GGGCGCUUGGUUUAGUGGUAUAAUACCUCAUUUGCACGUUUCGCCCUGCGAAAACUAUUCAAAAGGUUCGUCCUUGAAAAUGUGAAAUUUGAGGGGGUCGCGCGUUCGAUUCGCGCAGUGUCCA